UCUCUCUGAAUCUGCGAACGGCUCCGCAAACCAGUUGUAAACUAUAGCAAGCAAUCCUGCGGGCGGCUUCGGCUGCUCGUGGGUAACAUGGAUAACCCUGGUAAUUCUGAGGCUAAUACAAGAACGUACUUCCUGGCUGACCGGCAACGGAAGGCUGGGGAGCGUGCAACGUAUCGUAGGGAUAAACCGGGAAUGGGUGCACGCUUGGACCGCGCUAAAGACAGAUCUCGGCGAGCCUUCGGGUGAGCCUUGGCCUGAGCGGCUCUUGCUGUGUGCUUCUGACCUAUCAACUAGACGGCAGCUUAAGGGACAUGCUAUGGUUACAACGGGUACAGAGGAUUAGGGUUCGAUCCUGGAGAGUGGGCCUGAGAGAUU
rnacentral:rRNA from 1 species